GACGAACGCUGGCGGCGUGCCUAAUACAUGCAAGUCGAACGCUUCUUUCCUCCCGAGUGCUUGCACUCAAUUGGAAAGAGGAGUGGCGGACGGGUGAGUAACACGUGGGUAACCUACCCAUCAGAGGGGGAUAACACUUGGAAACAGGUGCUAAUACCGCAUAACAGUUUAUGCCGCAUGGCAUAAGAGUGAAAGGCGCUUUCGGGUGUCGCUGAUGGAUGGACCCGCGGUGCAUUAGCUAGUUGGUGAGGUAAGGGCUCACCAAGGCCACGAUGCAUAGCCGACCUGAGAGGGUGAUCGGCCACACUGGGACUGAGACACGGCCCAGACUCCUACGGGAGGCAGCAGUAGGGAAUCUUCGGCAAUGGACGAAAGUCUGACCGAGCAACGCCGCGUGAGUGAAGAAGGUUUUCGGAUCGUAAAACUCUGUUGUUAGAGAAGAACAAAGGCGUAAGUAACUAAGCACCCCCUGACGGUAUCUAACCAGAAAGCCACGGCUAACUACGUG
rnacentral:rRNA from 1 species